rnacentral:rRNA from 1 species
GAUCAUGGCUCAGGAUGAACGCUAGCUACAGGCUUAACACAUGCAAGUCGAGGGGAAACGAUAUUGGAAGCUUGCUUCCGAUAGGCGUCGACCGGCGCACGGGUGAGUAACGCGUAUCCAACCCGCCCACCACUUGGGGAUAACCUUGCGGAAGUAAGACUAAUACCCAAUGAUAUCUCUAGAAGACAUCUGAAAGAGAUUAAAGAUUCAUCGGUGAUGGAUGGGGAUGCGU